GUCUCAGUUCGGAUUGCAGGCUGCAACUCGCCUGCAUGAAGUCGGAAUUGCUAGUAAUCGCAGAUCAGCAUGCUGCGGUGAAUACGUUCCCGGGCCUUGUACACACCGCCCGUCACACCAUGGGAGUCGGUAACACCCGAAGUCGGUAGCCUAACCGUAAGGAGGGCGCCGCCGAAGGUGGGAUUGAUGACUGGGGUGAAGUCGUAACAAGGUAGC
rnacentral:rRNA from 1 species